rnacentral:lncRNA from 1 species
ACUCCUGAGAAUGCGCUGAAUCUUAGUUAAUGAAAGAAUCAUGAAGAUUUUUCACUACUCAUCGUUUACACUGAAUAUAGGAUUGUACCAACAACACGUCAGGAAAAGUCUGUUCUGCAGAGUGUCCACCACCUGCCUGCGGAGUUCUCAGAUCCCUUCAGCGGACACUGAACUCAUCCCUUUGCGUCCCAUUCUCGCACUUCCUCCUCAGCCGCGGACUCUCUCACAGGAUAUUCUCAGUUUUAGCCGCUCUCCACACCAGGCCAGCCUGAACUACAUGAGACUGUGGAGACCAAAGAGGAGCACCCGCCUCUCCGCUUUCCUCAGGGAUGGAGGCCGCCGCCCACCUGCCCCCUCGGACUGGGUCAACUCAGCUCGGCCUCCAGUCUGGCAUCCAGCUGCCACUGUCCUUCACAUCACACCAACGUGGGUGCAGCUCACCUUCACCUCCCUUCGGCGUGAAGAAGGGAGGAGCCACCUGGGUGUGGUUAAGACCGGGGAUAAGGUGGGUUGAUUUUUAAAAAUCUGGUUGAGCUGAGCAUGUUGGCCUGUAAUCCCAGCAUUUGGGAGGCUGAAGCAGGAAGCUUGCCAUGAGUUUAAGACCACCCUGGGCUACAUUUUGAGUCCAAGCCCAGCCAUAUACUCAGACCUUGUCUCAAACAGCAACAGAAAGAAAGAAAAAGAAAGAAAGAAAGAAAGUCUAGUUGAUCUGUAUAUAUUUGAAUUAGUUAUUAAAGUCCCCAAGUAUGAUUGUGCAGUAAAUUUUCAAUUUAUGAAUAUCCAUGUUGCAGACUUUCACAGAUACGAAUAGACCGUGUAUUGUGAACAUGUGUAGAUGUGAACAAACCCUAGAAGUGGCUCACAUGCCUGGCAGACACUGUCAGAGCUGUGCUGCUGUGUGCUUGCUGUACAGUGUGGUACUGGCUUGUUGGUCAUGAGUUUCUUCCGUUUAUCCUUUUUACAAAUGGUCUUUACGUCUGCCUUCAUUUUUUAAGGAUAGCCUCGCAGGAUAUAGUAAUCUCGGUUGGCUGUUAUUUUCUUUGAGGACUUGUAAAUACUUCGUUUUAAAGUCUCUUGGUCUUUAAGGUUUCUGUUGAGAAAUCCGCUAUUUUCCUGGUUAUUUGGCCUUAUCAGUGAUUGGUACCUUGCUCUGAUAGCUUCCUUUGUUCUCACUGUCUGGCAUUUUGACUACGAUGUAUCUUGGAGAGAUUCUUUUCUGGUCAUGUGCGUUUGAG